rnacentral:rRNA from 1 species
GUAGUUUACUACAGAAAAUGACUGAGCGGCGAACGGGUGAGUAACGCGUGAGCAAUCUACCUUAGUUACAGGGAUAGCCCGAGGAAACUCGGAUUAAUACCUGAUAUUCUUUUUAUCUCGCAUGAGAUUUUAAGGAAAGGUCAGCCGAACUAAGAUGAGCUCGCGUUCUAUCAGCUAGUUGGUGAGGUAAUAGCUCACCAAGGCUACGACGGAUAGCUGGUCUGAGAGGACGAUCAGCCACACUGGGACUGAGACACGGCCCAGACUCCUACGGGAGGCUGCAGCAGGGAAUAUUGCGCAAUGAGCGAAAGCUCGACGCAGCGACACCGCGUAUGGGAUGACGGAUCUAGGUUUGUAAACCACUUUCAGGAGGGAAGAAAAUGACGGUACCUCCACAAGAAGCCCCGGCCAACUACGUGCCAGCAGCCGCGGUAAUACGUAGGGGGCGAGCGUUGUCCGGAUUUAUUGGGCGUAAAGAGCUCGUAGGCGGUUCAACAAGUCGGUCGUGAAAGUUCAGGGCUCAACCCUGAAAUGUCGAUCGAUACUGUUGUGACUAGGAUACGGUAGAGGUGAGUGGAAUUCCGAGUGUAGCGGUGAAAUGCGUAGAUAUUCGGAGGAACACCAAUUGCGAAGGCAGCUCACUGGGCCGCUAUCGACGCUGAGGAGCGAAAGCUAGGGGAGCAAACAGGAUUAGAUACCCUGGUAGAAGGGC